rnacentral:rRNA from 1 species
CAAGUCGAGCGGAAAGGCCCUUUCGGGGGUACUCGAGCGGCGAACGGGUGAGUAACACGUGAGUAAUCUGCCCUUCACUUGGGGAUAACCUCCGGAAACGGUGGCUAAUACCCGAUACGACCAUGGAUCGCAUGAUCUUGUGGUGGAAAGUUUUUCGGUGGGGGAUGUGCUCGCGGCCUAUCGGCUUGUUGGUGGGGUAAUGGCCUACCAAGGCUUCGACGGGUAGCCGGCCUGAGAGGGUGACCGGCCACACUGGGACUGAGACACCGGCCCAGACUCCUACGGGAGGCAGCAGUGGGGAAUAUUGGACAAUGGGCGGAAGCCUGAUCCAGCAACGCCCGCGUGAGGGGAUGACGGCCUUCGGGUUGUAAACCUCUUUCACCUGUGACGAAGCGAAAGUGACGGGUAGCGGGAGAAGAAGCACCGGCCAACUACGUGCCAGCAGCCGCGGUAAUACGUAGGGUGCGAGCGUUGUCCGGAAUUAUUGGGCGUAAAGGGCUCGUAGGCGGUUUGUCGCGUCGGGAGUGAAAACACCGGGCUUAACUCGGUGCUUGCUUUCGAUACGGGCAGACUAGAGGUAUGCAGGGGAGAACGGAAUUCCUGGUGUAGCGGUGAAAUGCGCAGAUAUCAGGAGGAACACCGGUGGCGAAGGCGGUUCUCUGGGCAUUACCUGACGCUGAGGAGCGAAAGUGUGGGGAGCGAACAGGAUUAGAUACCCUGGUAGUCCACACCGUAAACGUUGGGCGCUAGGUGUGGGGCCUAUUCCAUGGGUUCCGUGCCGCAGCUAACGCAUUAAGCGCCCCGCCUGGGGAGUACGGCCGCAAGGCUAAAACUCAAAGGAAUUGACGGGGGCCCGCACAAGCGGCGGAGCAUGCGGAUUAAUUCGAUGCAACGCGAAGAACCUUACCUGGGUUUGACAUAUGCCGGAAACAUCCAGAGAUGGGUGCCCUUUUAGUCGGUAUACAGGUGGUGCAUGGCUGUCGUCAGCUCGUGUCGUGAGAUGUUGGGUUAAGUCCCGCAACGAGCGCAACCCUCGUCCUAUGUUGCCAGCACGUCCUUCGGGAUGGUGGGGACUCAUAGGAGACUGCCGGGGUCAACUCGGAGGAAGGUGGGGAUGACGUCAAGUCAUCAUGCCCCUUAUGUCCAGGGCUUCACGCAUGCUACAAUGGCCGGUACAAAGGGCUGCGAUGCCGCAAGGCGGAGCGAAUCCCAAAAAGCCGGUCUCAGUUCGGAUUGGGGUCUGUAACUCGACCCCAUGAAGUCGGAGUCGCUAGUAAU